rnacentral:rRNA from 1 species
AACAAACGCUGGCGGCGUGCCUAAUACAUGCAAGUCGAACGGGGAAAGCUUUCGGGUGAGUACUAGUGGCGCACGGGUGAGUAACGCGUGGAUAAUCUGCCUUAGAGUGGGGGAUAACUAGUCGAAAGAUUAGCUAAUACCGCAUAAGACCACAAGAACUGCGGUUCAAGGGGUCAAAGGUUUUUCGCUCUAAGAUGAGUCCGCGUAAGAUUAGCUAGUUGGUAGGGUAACGGCCUACCAAGGCGACGAUCUUUAGCUGGUCUGAGAGGAUGAUCAGUCACACUGGAACUGAGACACGGUCCAGACUCCUACGGGAGGCAGCAGUAGGGAAUAUUGCACAAUGGAGGAAACUCUGAUGCAGCGACGCCGCGUGAGUGAUGAAGGCCUUCGGGUCGUAAAGCUCUGUCGCAGGGGAAUAACACAAUGAAUGUACCCUGUAAGAAAGGAUCGGCUAACUUCGUGCCAGCAGCCGCAGUAAGAC